rnacentral:rRNA from 1 species
AGAACGAACGCUGGCGGCAUGCCUAAUACAUGCAAGUCGAACGAACUCUUCGGAGUUAGUGGCGCACGGGUGCGUAACGCGUGGGAAUCUGCCCCUUGGUUCGGAAUAACAGUUGGAAACGACUGCUAAUACCGGAUGAUGACGAAAGUCCAAAGAUUUAUCGCCAAGGGAUGAGCCCGCGUAGGAUUAGCUAGUUGGUGAGGUAAAGGCUCACCAAGGCAACGAUCCUUAGCUGGUCUGAGAGGAUGAUCAGCCACACUGGGACUGAGACACGGCCCAGACUCCUACGGGAGCAGCAGUAGGGAAUAUUGGACAAUGGGCGAAAGCCUGAUCCAGCAAUGCCGCGUGAGUGAUGAAGCCUUAGGUGUAAAGCUCUUUUACCCGAGAUGAUAAUGACAGUAUCGGAGAAUAAGCCCGGCUAACUCCGUGCCAGCAGCCGC